UGAACGCUGGCGGCGUGCCUAAUACAUGCAAGUCGAGCGAACAGACGAGGAGCUUGCUCCUCUGACGUUAGCGGCGGACGGGUGAGUAACACGUGGAUAACCUACCUAUAAGACUGGGAUAACUUCGGGAAACCGGAGCUAAUACCGGAUAAUAUAUUGAACCGCAUGGUUCAAUAGUGAAAGACGGUUUUGCUGUCACUUAUAGAUGGAUCCGCGCCGCAUUAGCUAGUUGGUAAGGUAACGGCUUACCAAGGCAACGAUGCGUAGCCGACCUGAGAGGGUGAUCGGCCACACUGGAACUGAGACACGGUCCAGACUCCUACGGGGGGCAGCAGUAGGGAAUCUUCCGCAAUGGGCGAAAGCCUGACGGAGCAACGCCGCGUGAGUGAUGAAGGUCUUCGGAUCGUAAAACUCUGUUAUUAGGGAAGAACAAAUGUGUAAGUAACUAUGCACGUCUUGACGGUACCUAAUCAGAAAGCCACGGCUAACUACGUG
rnacentral:rRNA from 1 species